UACGAGGGGGGCAACUGUUGUUCGGAAUCACUGGGCGUAAAGGGCGCGUAGGCGGGUUUCUAAGUCAGGUGUUUAAUCCCGGGGCCCAACCCCGGACAGGCACUUGAAACUGGGAAUCUUGAAUAGUGGAGAGGUCAGUGGAAUUGGGGGUGUAGCGGUGGAAUGCGUAGAGAUCCCCAAGAACACCAGUUGCGAAGGCGGCUGACUGGACACAUAUUGACGCUGAGGCUCGAAAGCAUGGGGAGCAAACAGG
rnacentral:rRNA from 1 species